CUCUCUCUGUGUUCCUCUCUCUCUCUCUCUCUCUGUGUUCCCUCUCUCUCUCUGUGUUCCUCUCUCUCUCUCUCUGUGUUCCCUCUCUCUCUCUCUCUGUUCCCUCUCUCUCUCUGUGUUCCCUCUCUCUCUCUCUGUGUUCCCUCUCUCUCUCUCUGUGUUCCCUCUCUCUCUCUCUCUCUGUGUUCCCUCUCUCUCUCUCUGUGUUCCCUCUCUCUGUGUUCCCUCUCUCUCUCUCUGUGUUCUCUCUCUCUCUGUGUUCUCUCUCUCUCUCUGUGUGUUCCCUGUCUCUCUCUGUGUUCCCUGACUCUGUGUAGGUGAGGUCAUGAUCACUGUUUCUGUACAGCCGACAGUCAAACUGAAGAUGCAAACACGUCUGCUGAAAAUAAAGUUAUUUCGUAAAGAUGGUCUGUGUUGUUUAUGAUAAGGGCCACAUACCAUAACCACGCUAUGAAUAACAUCACAAAUUGUAUAUGAAACGUGAAUAGAUUUAUUUUAAAUAAAUUUGUGAUGUUCUAACUAAAAGCCCUAAAUGUUUACAUAUCAUAGCAUGAAGAAAUGAAUCCCUUUGAUGUUAAAUACUGGUUUACCUAGUUCAAAGUAUUCAAUCCCCUUUCCACAUGUUGUUGCGUUCAAGCCUGAAUUUAAAAUGGAUUAUAUUGAAAUGUGUCACGAGCCCUACACACAAUACUAACCUAAAUGACCUGUGGCCUGUACAGAAUAAACAUGUCAAAACUUGCAUCCUGUUUGCAAUGAGGCACUGAGUACCACUCUAAAUAUUUAAGUAUCUUGGUGGCUGCAUCAUGUUAUGGGUAUGCUUGUCAUCAGCAACCACUAGGGAUUUUUUUGGGGGGGGGGGGAAUAAAUGGAAUAGAGCUAAGCACAGGCAAAAUCUGCUUUCCACCAGACACUGGGAGACAAAUUCACUGUUCGGUAGGACAAAAACACAAAGCCAAAUAUACACUGGAGUUGGUUACCGAGACGAUAUUGAAUGCUCCUGAUUGGCCUAGUUACAGUUUUGACUUAAAUUGUCAUAAAUCUAUGGAAAGACCUGAAAAUCACUGUCUAGCAAUGAUCAACAACCAACUUGACUGAGUACUUAUGUAAAUGAGAUAUUUGAUUUGAUUUCUGUAUUUAAAUUUUCAAUAAAUUAGCAAACAUGUCUAAAAACAUGUUUUCACUUUGUCAUUAUGGGAUAUUGUGAUGUCAUUAUGGGGUAUUGUAUGUCAGAUGGGUGUGAAAAAAAAAUCUAAUCAAUGUUGAUUUCAGGCUGUAACACAACAAAAUGUGGAAUAAAUCCAGCUGUCUAAUAAUCUACAUACAGCGAAGGACCAGGAAAUGUCACAAUGCAGACAGAGUGGAAGGGAAGUGGUCUAUCUCCUGCAGCAGCUCCAUGUCUAUGGAUCGUUACCUACAGGAAGUGGUCUAUCUGCUGCUGCAGCUCCAUGUCUAUGGAUCAUUACCUACAGGAAGUGGUCUUUCUCCUGCUGCAGCUCCAUGUCUAUGGAUCGUUACC
ensembl:lncRNA